GUGCCAGCCGCCGCGGUAAUACGCAGGGUGCAAGCGUUACUCGGAAUUACUGGGCGUAAAGCGUGCGUAGGUGGUUGUUUAAGUCUGUUGUGAAAGCCCUGGGCUCAACCUGGGAAUUGCAGUGGAUACUGGGCGACUAGAGUGUGGUAGAGGGUAGUGGAAUUCCUGGUGUAGCAGUGAAAUGCGUAGAGAUCAGGAGGAACAUCCAUGGCGAAGGCAGCUACCUGGACCAACACUGACACUGAGGCACGAAAGCGUGGGGAGCAAACAGGAUUAGAUACCCCAGUAGUCC
rnacentral:rRNA from 1 species